rnacentral:tRNA from 1 species
AGGGCUUAGUUUAAUUAAAGCGAUUGAUUUGCGUUCAGUAGAUGUAAGAUGG